rnacentral:rRNA from 1 species
AGAGUUUGAUCAUGGCUCAGAACGAACGCUGGCGGCAUGCCUAACACAUGCAAGUCGGACGCUUUCGGGGGUUUCGGCCUCCGAGGGAGUGGCGGACGGGUGAGUAGCGCGUGGGAACCUGCCCUGUUGUGGGGGAUAACCGAGGGAAACUUCGGCUAAUACCGCAUGCGCCCGGGGGUAACUCCGGGGAAAGAUUUAUCGCAGCAGGAGGGGCCCGCGUCGGAUUAGGUAGUUGGUGGGGUAACGGCCUACCAAGCCUGUGAUCCGUAGCUGGUCUGAGAGGAUGAUCAGCCACACUGGGACUGAGACACGGCCCAGACUCCUACGGGAGGCAGCAGUGGGGAAUAUUGGACAAUGGGCGCAAGCCUGAUCCAGCAAUGCCGCGUGAGUGAUGAAGGCCUUAGGGUUGUAAAGCUCUUUCGGCGGGGACGAUGAUGACGGUACCCGCAGAAGAAGCCCCGGCUAACUUCGUGCCAGCAGCCGCGGUAAUACGAAGGGGGCGAGCGUUGUUCGGAUUUACUGGGCGUAAAGGGCGCGUAGGCGGCGGCCCAAGUCGAGUGUGAAAGCCCCGGGCUCAACCUGGGAGGUGCGCUCGAGACUGGUCCGCUAGAGUUCGGGAGAGGAGAGUGGAAUUCCCAGUGUAGAGGUGAAAUUCGUAGAUAUUGGGAAGAACACCGGUGGCGAAGGCGGCUCUCUGGACCGAGACUGACGCUGAGGCGCGAAAGCGUGGGGAGCAAACAGGAUUAGAUACCCCGGUAGUCC